GCCGCGAUGUGACACAGUGGCGAGAUAUGUGUCAACAUUUAUCAUAUCGCGCUUGAUGGGUCAAAAAUAAAAUAAAUGUCGUCAAUGGCUCAACGUUCAGCGCUUUAGCAGCGAAUGAUAUGUUUUUUGAGAGAUGCCUAACAUAAAGUUACUCAAGUUUCCUUCAAGUAAAGGAGCAUUCUUACAAGUGCCACAGAUGUCCUGAUGGAGGUGAUGAGUUUGAUCGAGCGUCUUGAGUUGGACCGCAGAGAAGGCUCUACUGGAAGAAAAGGAGAAAGCAAAGAAACUUUCAGAGAAAUUGCACAGCCUCUGUCUCUGGAAGCAGAAUGAGUUUCCUAUAGCAGUGCAGAAAGGUCAGACUGGAUAUUGAUUACGGCAUGCAAUUUAUGUUCAAACUGUUUUUUCCAGCUCUAACAUUUUACUUCAGGCCCAGUAAUGUGGUAAUAAAGUGUCUAUUCUAUUCUGUUCUAUUCUAUUACAAUGUACAGUCAAAAAUAUUCAACAGGGUCAUCAAAAACACACAAAAAUGGCUUGAGGAGCACAAAUAUAAAGUAA